CCGACCUUAGCUCAGUUGGUAGAGCGGAGGACCGUAGUUGAGGCAGAAUAUCCUUAUGUCACUGGUUCGAAUCCGGUAGGUCGGA
rfam:Arabidopsis lyrata subsp. lyrata unplaced genomic scaffold ARALYscaffold_1, whole genome shotgun sequence.